ACGGAAGGCAGCAGUGGGGAAUAUUGCACAAUGGGCGAAAGCCUGAUGCAGCGACGCCGCGUGAGUGAAGAAGUAUCUCGGUAUGUAAAGCUCUAUCAGCAGGGAAGAAAAUGACGGUACCUGACUAAGAAGCCCCGGCUAACUACGUGCCAGCAGCCGCGGUAAUACGUAGGGGGCAAGCGUUAUCCGGAUUUACUGGGUGUAAAGGGAGCGUAGACGGUUUGGCAAGUCUGAAGUGAAAUGCGGGGGCUCAACUCCUGAGCUGCUUUGGAAACUGUCGAACUAGAGUGCAGGAGAGGUAAGUGGAAUUCCUAGUGUAGCGGUGAAAUGCGUAGAUAUUAGGAGGAACACCAGUGGCGAAGGCGGCUUACUGGACUGUAACUGACGUUGAGGCUCGAAAGCGUGGGGAGCAAACAGGAUUAGAUACCCUGGUA
rnacentral:rRNA from 2 species